rnacentral:rRNA from 1 species
ACAAUGCGGGAUUAUCAGUCUUGCAAUUGGAUUGAGAACAAUGUACAACUCUUAUCGAUAAGCCAUUGGAGGGCAAGUCUGGUGCCAGCAGCCGCGGUAAUUCCAGCUCCAAUAGCGUAUAUUAACGUUGUUGCAGUUAAAAAGCUCGUAGUUGAAGUGUGGGUGAUCGCUGUUGUGAGACUUCGGUCUCUCGACAGUAAGUCACCCCCUUCCAGUAUCCAGUAGUGGGUAUUCAGUUACUUACUACUGUGUGUUGGUCGUUUACUGUGAGAAAAUUAGAGUGUUCAAAGCAGGCGUUUGCUUGAAUAGAUUAGCAUGGAAUAAUAAUUGAAGGCUUUCGUGUUCGAUUUGAUUGGUUUGUUCAUGGAAGCAAGGUUAAAAGGAACAGUUGGGGGUAUUCAUAUUCACUAGUUAGAGGUGAAAUUCUCGGAUUUAUGGAA